rnacentral:sRNA from 1 species
GCAUCUGAUGUGCGUGUCAUGCCAUGUAUUAAAAACCUUCCACCUUUAAAAGCAACAAUGCGGUGUCCUUUAAAUUCAAACAUAACCAUAUACGAAUUACUGCGAUAAUUUAGUUGAUGUUGUUUUAAAAAUUGAACAAGAAUGUCGUGUGUAAUUGAUGCAUUUUCAUACUGUACAGUGUCUCUACCACACAAUGUUGCAUAACGUUGUUCAUUCUUGUUU